UGCACUAGACGCAAGGUCUCUCGAUUAGGAAUUGAAACUGAGGUGACUAUGAUAGUUGCACAGUGCCAAAAACAGAAUGAUAGAUAAGCACAACUGUGACACGGAUCGAAAAUGCCUCGAGUAAAAGAGAUUAAAACCGGAAAGUUGGAUCACAUGAAGAGACAGAACUACUUUAAACCGAGACAAGUUCAGUUUUGUAAGGUGAUUGAAGGACUAGAUACAGAGUACUACCUCAUCAAACUCUUCAGACAUGAUGAUAAGCUUCAUCGCAGGGUGCCAAAAGGUUCUAUUCAGUUCAACAAAGCUGAUGUCUGUGCAGUUCACAUGUGGGAGGCAAAGGAAGAGAAAAAGAAAUUGCUUCGGUCUCAAGUUAUUUUGAAAAAUCAUGUUAUUUUGUUUUUACCUGAACCAGUCGUUUUUCUUGAGAAGAGUAGUGAUGAGUCUCUUGAAGCACUAGAGUUGUUGGAGUGGUACAACUGCUUUGUGAAAGAAUUCAAGCACAGGCACCACUGGGAAGUAGAAGUGCCAGAGAAGGACUACUAUAAACCUGGUCAGUAUUGGUUACACCUUAUGGAACAGUCAUUGUGCUUAGUGUCCAGGUCCAACUUGUAUGGUCCAUGUGACCCAGUCUUUGCAUGCUAUGACCACUACUCUUUAGAGGAUGUGGAGGUGUCAUGGUCUCCUGGAAUUCUAGACUUGAAUGUCUAUGAUAAACAACAGAUUAAACUCAAGACACCAUUUGCAAAGGACAUUUAUAAUGUUAUUAGUGAGAAGACAGCAGAGUUAUCAGCCCAUAAGCAAUCUGAUGUUGUUAAGCCUGUUUCUCCGACAACACCUUUCCCCCCUCAGAGACCAGAUGGCGCAGCGGUGUCAGUGAAAGUAGAGCCACCUGACUGCCCUCCCACCCCUCCCCUAAGGAAGGAUGUAGAGUCUCCGCUUGUGAAUCCAGAUAUAAAUGCUUCCAUUGUCCCACCAAGGCCACCCAGAAGUCCUUUACAUACAAGAAAGGAUGCAAAUCUUGACAAAGAUAUGUCACUGGACAAUUCAGAGGAGGAUUUUAAAAACUUAUCGACUGAAAAUGUUCAUCGUCCUUUGCAGAUGUCUGCCAGCAUUCCUUAUUCUGUAGAAGCUAUACGUCCCCCCUUACCUCCCUUGAGAAGUAACAGUGAUCAAAGUGGCUUAGUGUCCAAUUUCCAAACCAUGCCACCACCUCUUCCGCCAAGGACACCCUGUAAAAAAAGCGACCAGCAGAAAAGUAAACCAUCAGACCUUUCAAGUAGUUAUCAUGAUGUUAAAGCAGGAAAAAAGUGGCAGAAUGUAGUGGUCUCUACAGAAGAAGAGCAAGGGAAGACGAAUGAAAUGAUUUUAAACAUUCCAGUACAAAGUUUUGAUCAAAAUGUCACCAUUCCUUGCAGUCCCAAGACGCCUAGCCCAACUCUGACUGUAAAUCCUAAGGGCUCCAAAAAAGGAUGAUUAUAAAAAUGUGAGAAGACCUCUUCCUGCUCCUCGGACGAAAAAUAAUUCAACUGGAGGAACAUCAGCAUUAGACUCAACAGAUCAAACUUUUAUAAAAUUUGAAGAUUUACAAUCAUUCAACAAUGGUACAGUUCAGUCAUUGAAUUUAGAAAGUGACCAUGCAGAUCAAAUGCUUCAGUUCCAUGAUAUCUCUGCUCAUCAACCUUUGACAGACAGUGACUAUGAUACAGUGGCAUGUGUGCAAUCAAAAGCUUUAUUUCCUUCAGGGCGAAGCCGUUCUUAUUCACUUGAACGUUUAUCAAUCCACAGUGACUCGUCCGACUUGCCUGUUGAGACAAUUUAUGGAAGUGCGGAAGAUUUGUAUGACAUUCAUAAAUUGGAAGAAUUUAGAGAAAAAGUGUUGAGAGGGGAUUUCAGUACACUGUACAGUGGAAUCAAUCGAGACCAACUUAGUAAAGGGCGUGGCAGUGGCAGAAAACACUGGAUGAGAAGUGCACUUGUUCAAAGUGAAUGCAUGUAUGUAAAUGAUGACCUUCAAAGUAAAGAGCCGGCCCCACAACUGCCACCACGAGAUUACCCCCAAGCACGGCCAGGCUAUGCAACUUUGCCUAAUUUGAGACGCAGAGAAGAUAGGAAUACAAUUCUGGAUAUGGAUUACUGGGCUUCAGAGAUCAGUCAAACUCUCCAACUAAUAUUAGAAAAGACCAAUCCUGUGCCAGAUACCCUUCUGAUAUCUUCACUGGUAAAGGAAAGAAUUUGCUUUAAACUUUCUUACAUUCCUGCUUCAACUGACUGGCAUAAUUUUGCGGAGGAGAUAGGUCUUCAUGCAGAUGACAUUGGUAUCAUAGAGAACUUUGCCAGAUUCCACAACGUUUGCCCAGCCAAGAUAGUGCUAAACCACUGGCAGGUGCUAGAAAAUAAUGGUGUGAUUGCCAGUGAUUCCACAAGUAUCAAACACUGUACCAAGCAGUCUCUGUUGGACAUAUUGGAAAAAUUGGAGAGAUUAGAUUUAGUAGAACUUAUUAAGAACCGGGAUAGAAAACAGUAGGAAAAUGGUCAGUCGUUUCUAUAUGCAAGGUGCAUUUUUUUUUUU